rnacentral:rRNA from 1 species
ACAGCAGCCGCCGCGGGAAAACGGAGGGGGCUAGCGUUGUUCGGAAUUACUGGGCGUAAAGCACACGUAGGCGGCUUGGUAAGUUAGAGGUGAAAGCCCGGAGCUCAACUCCGGAAUUGCCUUUAAGACUGCCGAGCUAGUAGGUGAGAGAGGUAAGUGGAAUUCCGAGUGUAGAGGUGAAGUUCGUAGAUAUUCGGAAGAACACCAGUGGCGAAGGCGGCUUACUGGCUCAUUCUAGACGCUGAGGUGCGAAAGCGUGGGGAGCAAACAGGAUUAGAUACCCCUGUAGUCCAUGUCUCUUAUAC